rnacentral:rRNA from 1 species
UGCCAGCCGCCGCGGUAAUACGGAGGGUGCAAGCGUCGUUCGGAAUUAUUGGGCGUAAAGCGUGCGUAGGCGGACUAUUAAGUCUGGUGUGAAAUCCCUCGGCUCAACCGAGGACGUGCAUUGGAUACUGGUAGUCUUGAGUCUGGAGAGGAGAGCGGAAUUCCUAGUGUAGAGGUGAAAUUCGUAGAUAUUAGGAGGAACACCAGCGGCGAAAGCGGCUCUCUGGACAGUGACUGACGCUGAGGCACGAAAGCAUAGGUAGCAAACAGGAUUAGAUA